rnacentral:rRNA from 1 species
GAUCAUUACCGUGGGGCUUCGGCCCCAUUGAGAUAGCACCCUUUGUUUAUGAGUACCCUUGUUUCCUCGGCGGGCUUGCCCGCCAUGAGGACAUCAAAAACCCUUUGUAGUAGCAGUAACUUCAGUUAAUAAUAAAUAUUAAAACUUUCAACAACGGAUCUCUUGGUUCUGGCAUCGAUGAAGAACGCAGCGAAAUGCGAUAAGUAGUGUGAAUUGCAGAAUUCAGUGAAUCAUCGAAUCUUUGAACGCACAUUGCGCCCUUCGGUAUUCCGUUGGGCAUGCCUGUUCGAGCGUCAUUUAAACCUUCAAGCUAUGCUUGGUGUUGGGUGUUUGUUCCGCCUCAGUGCGUGGACUCGCCUCAAAUUCAUUGGCAGCCGGUAUGUUGGCUUCGUGCGCAGCACAUUGCAAGCGACUUCAGCAGACCCCCUUCCAUAAGCCCUUUUUUUUACUUUGACCUCGGAUCAGGUAGGGAUACCCGCUGAACUUAAGCAUAUCAAUAAGCGGAGGAAAAGAAACCAACAGGGAUUGCCCCAGUAACGGCGAGUGAAGCGGCAAUAGCUCAAAUUUGAAAUCUGGCCCUUUCAGGGUCCGAGUUGUAAUUUGCAGAGGGCGCUUUGGUGUCGGCAGCAGCCUAAGUUCCUUGGAACAGGUCAUCAUAGAGGGUGAGAAUCCCGUAUGUGGCUGCUUGUCUUCACCGUGUAAAGCCCCUUCGAUGAGUCGAGUUGUUUGGGAAUGCAGCUCUAAAUGGGAGGUAAAUUUCUUCUAAAGCUAAAUAUUGGCCAGAGACCGAUAGCGCACAAGUAGAGUGAUCGAAAGAUGAAAAGCACUUUGGAAAGAGAGUCAAAAAGCACGUGAAAUUGUUGAAAGGGAAGCGCUUGCAGCCAGACGUGCCCGUAGUUGCUCAUCUGGGGUUUUCCCCAGUGCACUCUUCUAUGGGCAGGCCAGCAUCAGUUCGGGCGGUUGGAGAAAGACCUGUGUCACGUAGCUCUCUUCGGGGAGUGUUAUAGGGCAGGUGGAAUGCAACCAGCCUGAACUGAGGUCCGCGCAUCUG